UACACAUGCAAGUCGAGCGGUAACAGGGGUAGCUUGCUACCCGCUGACGAGCGGCGGACGGGUGAGUAAUGCAUAGGAAUCUGCCCGGUAGUGGGGGAUAACCUGGGGAAACCCAGGCUAAUACCGCAUACGUCCUACGGGAGAAAGGGGGCUCCGGCUCCCGCUAUUGGAUGAGCCUAUGUCGGAUUAGCUAGUUGGUGAGGUAAUGGCUCACCAAGGCGACGAUCCGUAGCUGGUCUGAGAGGAUGAUCAGCCACAUCGGGACUGAGACACGGCCCGAACUCCUACGGGAGGCAGCAGUGGGGAAUAUUGGACAAUGGGCGAAAGCCUGAUCCAGCCAUGCCGCGUGUGUGAAGAAGGCCCUCGGGUUGUAAAGCACUUUCAGCGAGGAAGAACGCCUAGUGGUUAAUACCCACUAGGAAAGACAUCACUCGCAGAAGAAGCACCGGCUAACUCCGUGCCAGCAGCCGCGGUAAUACGGAGGGUGCAAGCGUUAAUCGGAAUUACUGGGCGUAAAGCGCGCGUAGGUGGCUUGAUAAGCCGGUUGUGAAAGCCCCGGGCUCAACCUGGGAACGGCAUCCGGAACUGUCAAGCUAGAGUGCAGGAGAGGAAGGUAGAAUUCCCGGUGUAGCGGUGAAAUGCGUAGAGAUCGGGAGGAAUACCAGUGGCGAAGGCGGCCUUCUGGACUGACACUGACACUGAGGUGCGAAAGCGUGGGUAGCAAACAGGAUUAGAUACCCUGGUAGUCCACGCCGUAAACGAUGUCGACCAGCCGUUGGGUGCCUAGCGCACUUUGUGGCGAAGUUAACGCGAUAAGUCGACCGCCUGGGGAGUACGGCCGCAAGGUUAAAACUCAAUGAAUUGACGGGGGCCCGCACAAGCGGUGGAGCAUGUGGUUUAAUUCGAUGCAACGCGAAGAACCUUACCUA
rnacentral:rRNA from 1 species